rnacentral:rRNA from 1 species
GAUCAUGGCUCAGAUUGAACGCUGGCGGCAUGCCUUACACAUGCAAGUCGAACGGCAGCGGACCUUCGGGUGCCGGCGAGUGGCGAACGGGUGAGUAAUGCAUCGGAACGUACCCUGGAGUGGGGGAUAACGCCGCGAAAGCGGCGCUAAUACCGCAUAUGCUCUGAGGAGGAAAGCGGGGGCUCGCAAGACCUCGCGCUCUGGGAGCGGCCGAUGUCCGAUUAGCUAGUUGGUGGGGUAAAGGCUUACCAAGGCGACGAUCGGUAGCUGGUCUGAGAGGAUGAUCAGCCACACUGGGACUGAGACACGGCCCAGACUCCUACGGGAGGCAGCAGUGGGGAAUUUUGGACAAUGGGGGCAACCCUGAUCCAGCCAUGCCGCGUGAGUGAAGAAGGCCUUCGGGUUGUAAAGCUCUUUUGGUCGGGAAGAAAGCGCCUUGCCUAAUACGCGAGGUGGUUGACGGUACCGGCAGAAUAAGCACCGGCUAACUACGUG